CAUAUGCUACUCAAAGCAUUAAAAUAAGCAUGUAGGGUGAGGGAAAUAGAGAAGGGAGGGUCCUAUGCAGUCAAUCAAAGAUCUCAAGAGAGACAGCUCUUCCACCCAGCUCAAGACUGUCAGACCAGAGGCUGGGACACUAGCUCUUCCCAGGGACACCCAUCCCUCUCCUGCUUCUGCACAUGUUACACCUUGGGGGGUCUGCUAGCCGCUUCAGGAACUUCAUUUCAGUCCUCUCAUGGUGAGGUGGGUGGUGCCUUGGGGGCCUGGACCUGCUAGAAACACAAGGCACCCCAUCAGCGGCUACACAUCAGGGUGGAGGAGUUCUUAUCAGGAGAGCCGGAAGCUCUGCCCAUUAGGCAUCCGGUUGAGUAAGCGAUAAGGCCUCCGUGCAGCCAACGUGUGCUUCUCCAGCUCCCGUGGGAUUCUGAGAAGCAUAUCUGAUGCCUGAAUCUUUACCCUGCAGGGGUACUGCUGUCAUUUCCAGGAAGCAUGGCACCUGCAGCUGAGCUGGUCAGAGAUGGCAUUGGAGAUGGCAGAGGCAGUUUGUCACGAGUCCCUGACGCGUGCACCUGGCCCUUCCUCAGAAGGUUCGGCUCGGUGGGAAGUACCUUUACCUUCUGACAUUUCGCCAGCUCAAGAAUUGCUCCAUGACUCUCUCACUACUCCCACAGAGUAGGCAAGCAAACAUAGAAACUCUUCAAAUUUCCCCACCUUGAUCCUGGACAAAAAUACUAAAGUAAUAUCAACCCAGCACCAAGACCCUGAUUCCGAUGCUCAUGCUAAACCUAAUGCCAACCCAAUCCACUACCAAUGCUACCAACCUAGUGACCCCAGAUUAAGUCAAUGCCAGUACAAAAAGCCACUGAGCCUCCGAGCCCAACAACAAUAUCAAAACCCAGCAGCAGGAUGGAUGUGGACAACCGGAGGACCUUCAGGGAUGAGUGUGCAAAACCCAGGGAGCCACAGCACACCAGGGGAGCCUGGUCAAGGCUCACACGUGUCCAGGGUCAGCAUACACUUACAGAGCCAUAUGUAAUCGCAGCUGACCUGUGUGCGCACACGGAGAAUUAUUACUGAAAGUGAAGCAGAGCUCUACCUCCUGUAUGGGUGGCAAGAAGUCCAAGAAGAAGCUGGGGUGCAGCUCAGCGGGCUUAACUGCCUACCGUGCACGACGCCCCUGGUCCCACAGCCAACACUACAGAACAACACACACACGGAAUCCCAGCACUUUGGAGGUGGAGGGAGAAGGAUCCAUCGUUGAAGGUCAUCCUCAGGCCCCAGGAGAGCGGAAGGCCAAUCCGGACAAGCAACAUGAAGUCAAAAGCACAACGCUGAAAGCUGUCAGGUCACAACACAGACUGUUUCUUAACUCAGAAGAGAGCCGCAAGGAGGCCGCCUGAGUCUGGCAUUGGCAUCUGCGCUGUGUCCUAUGAGUCUCCAGUUCAAGGCCAGCCCUAGCUACAUACCGAGAACCCACCCAAAAAGAAACAAAAAAGAAAAACAGAAGGGGUGUCUCCCUCUCUAGUAGCGGCUAUAAGUUUUGAAACAUAAGGGUCUUAGGCCUGCAUAAGUUCACACUGUAUUCCAGGAGUGUGGAAGCCCUGUUUCUCACAAGAAGGGCUUUAAGGUAAAGUGAAAGAGGUGGGAUACAGAGACUCUGUCAAUCGGGAGAGGCACAGCAAACACACCUAGAUCUGGACACACCCAGGAGGUCCCCAGAAGGGAAAGAUGGGUCUCCCCACACAGGGCAAAGUCACAGGAAGAAGAGCAAGGUUUUGUUACUCGGGCAGGGAAGAUGCCUCAGUCUGUUUGGCGAAUUUAAUAAAAUGUCGGCAUACUGGG